rnacentral:rRNA from 1 species
UACGGGGGGGGCAAGCGUUGUUCGGAAUUACUGGGCGUAAAGGGCUCGUAGGCGGCCAACUAAGUCAGACGUGAAAUCCCUCGGCUUAACCGGGGAACUGCAUCUGAUACUGGAUGGCUUGAGAUUGGGAGAGGGAUGCGGAAUUCCAGGUGUAGCGGUGAAAUGCGUAGAUAUCUGGAGGAACACCGGUGGCGAAGGCGGCAUCCUGGACCGAGAUUGACGCUGAGGCGCGAAAGCUAGGGGAGCAAACGGG